rnacentral:lncRNA from 1 species
CUGAGCGAUCAGAGUCAUCGGGAUGGUUAGCUGGAGGACAUAUGAUGGUGUAGUGAGGAGAUUGAGGGAGGUCUGAUAUAUACCUGAUUUUAAACGAAAUCUUAUCUCACUGAGCAGACUGAAUUCGAGAGGCUAUAGGACGGUAGCUGGUGAAGAAAUUCUGAAGAUGUUGCAUGGCGAUAGGAUUAUUCUGGAGAGAAAAAAGAGGAUGAGAGAAUAUUACUACCUGACAUGGAGUCCAAUGUGAGGUGGAGCUUCAUGAGCCAGGAGGAGCCCAG